AGGACGAACGCUGGCGGCGUGCUUAACACAUGCAAGUCGAGCGAGGCUCCUCCUUCGGGAGGAUGCCCUAGCGGCGAACGGGUGAGUAACACGUGGGCAACCUGCCCCUAGCACUGGGAUAACCCCGGGAAACCGGGGCUAAUACCGGAUACGACUUCGGAAGGCAUCUUCUGAAGUGGAAAAGGUUACUGGCUAGGGAUGGGCCCGCGGCCUAUCAGCUUGUUGGUGGGGUAAUGGCCCACCAAGGCGACGACGGGUAGCCGGCCUGAGAGGGCGACCGGCCACACUGGGACUGAGACACGGCCCAGACUCCUACGGGAGGCAGCAGUGGGAAUAUUGCACAAUGGGCGAAAGCCUGAUGCAGCGACGCCGCGUGAGGGAUGACGGCCUUCGGGUUGUAAACCUCUUUCAGCAGGGACGAAGCGAAAGUGACGGUACCUGCAGAAGAAGCACCGGCCAACUACGUGCCAGCAGCCGC
rnacentral:rRNA from 1 species